rnacentral:tRNA from 1 species
AUUAAGGUGGCAGAUCAGUGCAUAGGAUUUAAGAUCCUAUUAGGGAAUAUAAGUUAGUGUUCUUCUUAAUA